CUCCCCUAGCUGCACUGUGUUAAGCAGAGUUUUCGUCUCGGAGUCAGCUAACAAAUCUGGGAUGGGAAGACUGUCAGGGUCUUCAGUGGUCGGGAUACAUAUGGCUGCUAUAUCUUCGGGCCUUUCUUGGUAUUCUUUUAACAAAUUGACAUGAAACGACUUCUGGACCCUUUUGUCUUGGCUACUGGCAAUUACAUAGGUGGUGUCACAUACCUGGGCCACUACCUUGUAAGGGCCUUGCCAGGAGGUCUGUAGCUUGUUUCCCUUGACAGGUCUAAGUACCAGAACUUUCUGACCUACUUGGAACGUUCUCAAUCGGGCGCCCCGAUCGUACCAGUGUUUCUGACGGCCCUGGGCUGCCUGGAGAUGUUCUC